CAGUCGCCGCGGGAAUACGGGGGGUGCAAGCGUUAUUCGGAUUGAUUGGGUGUAAAGGGUGUGCAGACGGCUUAUUAAGUCACUUGUUAAAUUCUUCGGCCUAACUGAAGGUCUGCAAGUGAUACUGAUGAGCUAGAGGGUGGAAGAGAGAAGUGGAAUUCUCGGAGUAGCGGUAAAAUGCGUAGAUCUCGAGAGGAACACCAAUGGCGAAGGCAGCUUCUUGGUCCAUUCCUGACGUUCAUACACGAAAGCGUGGGGAGCAAACAGGAUUAGAUACCCCCGUAGUCCCUGUCUCUUAUAC
rnacentral:rRNA from 1 species